rnacentral:lncRNA from 1 species
GAGUUAUAUAUCAGGUGAAGGUUAAAGAACGCAACCGGGCAGUGCUUCUGGGAUUUGUGGAUCUUGAUCGUAUUAAUUCGUCUCUGUGAAUUCUCCUGGUGUGUCCAAGUAGAGGACACCUUAAUAAUUUAAGUUUGUAUUCCUAUAUCUAAACUAAAGUACAUUCUUGUAUGGUGUUUUCAAGGAGAGGACACCUUAAUAAUUUAAGUUUGUAUUCCUAUAUCUAACUAAAGUACAUUCUUGUAUUCGAGCAAUAGAUUUUGAGUAUCAAUAGCCUAUGGCUACUAGCAAAAAAUUAAAGCCAUGAUUGUUGUUAAUAUGUGUGAUGAAUG